rnacentral:lncRNA from 1 species
AGGACCCCUUAGAUUUCAAUAAUUUUUUGCUCAAUGAUGCAACCAAUGUUGGAGAUGCUACUGCUGGUUUUUCUUGUUUUGGCAAGGUCAAACUACGGAGAAAUGACGGGUCAAAGGUCAAGGUCAUUUUUAGCGGACCCUUUCGAUUCACAUAUAAAUUUUUAUCCCAAUACAAUUUUUAAUUUUGGUUAUUAUUCUGCGUAUUGUUAGGCUUGGCAGGUCUUAAAUUAUUUUAAAAUAUUUAAAUAAUUUAACCUUUAAUUCACCUAUCCCAACAUGGCUACCGUGCGAGCACCUAUCAAAACCUUGAUGAAAAUAACAAACCGAAAAUCCAUUUGACCUUGGACGUGCCCCGUGCCGGUGCACUGGCCUUAGGGGUGCUGAAGAACUUGAUUUGGAUGCCGGCGGCGGCGACGACAGUGCGCCGGCGCACAUCUCUAUGGAGGUGGACACGGCGACCCGUGGGCGACCGCCGCUGCCGCGGUUUGCUACAGGUGGCGAUGGCCACUAAUCUGUUGGAGGAGGCGCCCCCGGCACAGGUCCCAACCGCCGGAGACGCGGCAGAGACCGGGCAGUGGGCUGGCUUCCAGUAGCGAUACGACGCGGUCGUGACAGCGUCUCAGUGCACAGGAGCCGCGGCUGUGGACGAUUGUUGAGAGACGGCGCGGGGCACCGAUAGAAGCUUGUCUGCUAGAGAUCAAAUCCUGUCUGCUGGUGGUAUAUAAUGCCGCGUAGGCGCUAAUGCCGCACUUCUCGCUCUCGAUCACCUCCAGCAGUCGCGCGGCGUACCUACGCUCGCUGCUCCUCGAGUAGAUGGGGCGGCAGCGGCGCGGGCGGAGCCUGUGGAGGUGGUGGCGAGGGCGACACAACUCUGAAGCUUUGGAAAAAAAGCUGGUAAUACAUACUAUAUAAUAAUAAUACAUACUAUAUAAAAAAAUGCUGAUAAUGCAUACUACAUACUAAAGCUGAUAAUACAAUAUAUACGAGCGGAAGCGGCGCGCGCACAGCGCCAGCACCGUGUCGAGAUCCUCCGGCGGCCUGCGCUCGUCGCUGAGCGUAUGUAGACUACUUGUGUCUUGUAGACAGUAGAGCUCGUCUUGACGGCGAAAUGUCAUUGUCCAAUUUUUCACUGUCCGGCGACCGCGGGAUGACAUUAACACUGUAUGUCACGCCGUGCACAUUA